CCCUUAGAUGUCCUGGGCUGCACGCGCGCUACAAUGGUCUUCGCAAACGGAUGCAUUCUCGAAGGAGAAUGCCAAUCUUGGAAUCUAUGCCUUGGUCGGGACAGUUGCUUGCAAUUUUUCGACUCGAACCAGGAAUUCCUUGUAAUCGUGAUUCAUCACAUCACGAUGAAUACGUCCCUGCCCUUUGUACACACCGCCCGUCGCUCCUACCGAUCGAAGAGUUAGGUGAAUUGUUUUGAUCGAUAAGAUUUGACUAUGGUCAACUCUCGUUGUGAAAUUCUGUGAAUCUGACUGUUUAGAGGAAGGAAAAGUCGUAACA
rnacentral:rRNA from 1 species